rnacentral:misc_RNA from 1 species
GUGAAUCAUCGAAUCUUUGAACGCACCUUGCGCUCCUUGGUAUUCCGAGGAGCAUGCCUGUUUGAGUGUCAGUAAUUUCUCAACCCCUCUGGCUUUUUGUUGGCUAGUUUGGGCUUGGAUAUGGAGGUGUUGUGGGCCUUUGUAGGUCGACUCCUCUGAAAUGCAUUAGCGGAACCGUUUGCGAUCCGUCACGGGUGUGAUAAUUAUCUACAUCCAGUGGGUUGCUCUCUGUCUUGUUCAGCUACCAACUGUCUGAAAGGACAACCAUUACUGAAUAUUUGACCUCAAAUCAGGUAGGAUUACCCGCUGAACUUAAGCAUAUCAAUAAGCGGAGGA